GCUUCUAUCGUUUAAUUUGGGUUAAGACAGUGUUUUUUCGUGACAUAAAUGUGAGUUCAAGUCUCACUAGAAGUA
rnacentral:tRNA from 1 species